rnacentral:rRNA from 1 species
CUAAGUACCCCGAGGAAAAGAAAUCAACCGAGAUUCCCCCAGUAGCGGCGAGCGAACGGGGAGCAGCCCAGAGCCUGAAUCAGUGUGUGUGUUAGUGGAAGCGUCUGGAAAGGCGCGCGAUACAGGGUGACAGCCCCGUACACAAAAAUGCACAUACUGUGAGCUCGAUGAGUAGGGCGGGACACGUGGUAUCCUGUCUGAAUAUGGGGGGACCAUCCUCCAAGGCUAAAUACUCCUGACUGACCGAUAGUGAACCAGUACCGUGAGGGAAAGGCGAAAAGAACCCCGGCGAGGGGAGUGAAAAAGAACCUGAAACCGUGUACGUACAAGCAGUGGGAGCACGCUUAGGCGUGUGACUGCGUACCUUUUGUAUAAUGGGUCAGCGACUUAUAUUCUGUAGCAAGGUUAACCGAAUAGGGGAGCCGAAGGGAAACCGAGUCUUAACUGGGCGUUAAGUUGCAGGGUAUAGACCCGAAACCCGGUGAUCUAGCCAUGGGCAGGUUGAAGGUUGGGUAACACUAACUGGAGGACCGAACCGACUAAUGUUGAAAAAUUAGCGGAUGACUUGUGGCUGGGGGUGAAAGGCCAAUCAAACCGGGAGAUAGCUGGUUCUCCCCGAAAGCUAUUUAGGUAGCGCCUCGUGAAUUCAUCUCCGGGGGUAGAGCACUGUUUCGGCAAGGGGGUCAUCCCGACUUACCAACCCGAUGCAAACUGCGAAUACCGGAGAAUGUUAUCACGGGAGACACACGGCGGGUGCUAACGUCCGUCGUGAAGAGGGAAACAACCCAGACCGCCAGCUAAGGUCCCAAAGUCAUGGUUAAGUGGGAAACGAUGUGGGAAGGCCCAGACAGCCAGGAUGUUGGCUUAGAAGCAGCCAUCAUUUAAAGAAAGCGUAAUAGCUCACUGGUCGAGUCGGCCUGCGCGGAAGAUGUAACGGGGCUAAACCAUGCACCGAAGCUGCGGCAGCGACGCUGAUGCGUUGUUGGGUA